rnacentral:rRNA from 1 species
UACAGAGGGUGCAAGCGUUAAUCGGAGUUACUGGGCGUAAAGGGCGCGCAGGCGGUUUGAAGGGUGUGACGUGAAGGCCUCGGGCUUAACCUGAGAAGUGCAUCGCAAACCGGCAAACUGGAGUAUAUGAGAGGGUGGCGGAAUUUCCGGUGUAGCGGUGAAAUGCGUAGAGAUCGGAAGGAACGUCAAUGGCGAAGGCAGCCACCUGCAUAAUACUGACGCUGAGGCGCGAAAGCGUGGGGAGCGAACAGG